UACGGAGGGUGCAAGCGUUAAUCGGAAUUACUGGGCGUAAAGCGCACGCAGGUGGCUGAGUCAGUCGAUUGUGAAAGCCCUGGGCUUAACCUGGGAAUUGCAGUCGAUACUACUCAGCUAGAGUAUGGGAGAGGGUAGUGGAAUUCCCGGUGUAGCGGUGAAAUGCGUAGAUAUCGGGAGGAACAUCAGUGGCGAAGGCGACACGCUGGGCCGUACCUGACACUGAUACGCGACAGCAUGGGGAGCGAACGGG
rnacentral:rRNA from 1 species